rnacentral:rRNA from 1 species
GGGUGCUUGCACCUGGUGGCGAGUGGCGAACGUGUGAGUAAUGCACCGGAACGUACCCAGUAAUGGGGGAUAACACAUCGAAAGAUGUGCUAAUACCGCAUACGCCCUGAGGGGGAAAGCGGGGGAUCGUAAGACCUCGCGUUAUUGGAGCGGCCGAUGCCGGAUUAGCUAGUUGGUGAGGUAAGAGCUCACCAAGGCGACGAUCCGUAGCUGGUCUGAGAGGACGACCAGCCACACUGGGACUGAGACACGGCCCAGACUCCUACGGGAGGCAGCAGUGGGGAAUUUUGGACAAUGGGCGCAAGCCUGAUCCAGCCAUGCCGCGUGAGUGAAGAAGGCCUUCGGGUUGUAAAGCUCUUUCGCAAGGAAAGAAAACUUAUCUACUAAUACUAGGUGAGGUUGACGGUACCUUGAUAAGAAGCACCGGCUAACUACGUGCCAGCAGCCGCGGUAAUACGUAGGGUGCGAGCGUUAAUCGGAAUUACUGGGCGUAAAGCGUGCGCAGGCGGUUUUGUAAGUCAGAUGUGAAAUCCCCGGGCUCAACCUGGGAACUGCGUUUGAAACUACAAGGCUAGAGUGUAGAAGAGGGGGGUAGAAUUCCACGUGUAGCAGUGAAAUGCGUAGAGAUGUGGAGGAAUACCGAUGGCGAAGGCAGCCCCCUGGGCUAACACUGACGCUCAUGCACGAAAGCGUGGGGAGCAAACAGGAUUAGAUACCCUGGUAGUCCACGCCCUAAACGAUGUCUACUAGUUGUUGGAGGAGUAAAAUCCUUUAGUAACGCAGCUAACGCGUGAAGUAGACCGCCUGGGGAGUACGGUCGCAAGAUUAAAACUCAAAGGAAUUGACGGGGGCCCGCACAAGCGGUGGAUUAUGUGGAUUAAUUCGAUGCAACGCGAAAAACCUUACCUGGCCUUGACAUGCCACUAACGAAGCAGAGAUGCAUUAGGUGCCCGAAAGGGAAAGUGGACACAGGUGCUGCAUGGCUGUCGUCAGCUUGUGUCGUGAGAUGUUGGGUUAAGUCCCCGCAACGAGCGCAACCCUUGCCAAUAAUUGCCAUCAUUUAGUUGGGCACUUUAUUGGGGACUGCCGGUGACAAACCGGAGGAAGGUGGGGAUGACGUCAAGUCCUCAUGGCCCUUAUGGCCAGGGCUUCACACGUAAUACAAUGGUCGGUACAGAGGGUUGCCAACCCGCGAGGGGGAGCCAAUCCCAGAAAGCCGAUCGUAGUCCGGAUUGUAGUCUGCAACUCGACUACAUGAAGUCGGAAUCGCUAGUAAUCGCGGAUCAGCAUGUCGCGGUGAAUACGUUCCCGGGCCUUGUACACACCGCCCGUCACACCAUGGGAGUGGGUUCUACCAGAAGUAGUUAGCCUAACCGUAAGGAGGGCGAUUACCACGGUAGGAUUCAUGACUGGGGUGAAGUCGUAACAAGGUA